rnacentral:rRNA from 1 species
UACGUAGGGUGCAAGCGUUAAUCGGAAUACUGGGCGUAAAGCGUGCGCAGGCGGUCUGCUAAGAGAGAUGUGAAAUCCCCGGGCUUAACCUGGGAACUGCGUUUCUAACUGGCAGGCUUGAGUGUGGCAGAGGGGGGUGGAAUUCCGACGUGUAGCAGUGAAAUGCGUAGAGAUGUGGAGGAACACCGAUGGCGAAGGCAGCCCCCUGGGCUAACACUGACGCUCGAUGCACGAAAGCGUGGGGAGCAAACAGG